rnacentral:lncRNA from 1 species
UUGGUUCUCCCAGGUUCCCUUUUAUAGGAGGGGAUUACGUUACCUGGGAGGUAACCGGGGGAUUUGUCCCUGUCUGUGAUAAUUGGGCACGAUUUGGCCCAUUUAUGGCAUAGUGGAGAACGGGGCCGAAUCAGACCGGAACCAGGGAGUUGUCACGGUCGAUCGGACCUGUUGGAGUGGUUGAACCGCCGGCCGUAGCGGGCCUGGGGUCUGUGGAUGGUAAGUGCAUUUAUUACCGAAUGAACCGACGGUCAGGUAGAGCCAUACGCUCUGAUGGUUCAGUGAUCCGGAGAUCGUCUUGGGCCGUGUUCAUUAAAUGCCUGAGUGCAUCGGAGACUUGAGGGAGUCUCAUGCAUUAAUGGCAGGUCGUGCCGAACGCCUGCGGAGAUCUUAUGCCUUGAUGGCUUGGAAAUAGUGGCAGGUCGCAAGCCGUAGGAGUUGUCAAGUCCCUU